rnacentral:rRNA from 1 species
UGGGGAAUUUUGGACAAUGGGGGCAACCCUGAUCCAGCCAUGCCGCGUGAGUGAAGAAGGCCUUCGGGUUGUAAAGCUCUUUCGGACAGAAAGAAAUCGCACGGGUGAAUAAUCCGUGUGGAUGACGGUACUGUAAGAAGAAGCACCGGCUAACUACGUGCCAGCAGCCGCGGUAAUACGUAGGGUGCGAGCGUUAAUCGGAAUUACUGGGCGUAAAGCGUGCGUAGGCGGUUUUGUAAGACAGCUGUGAAAUCCCCGGGCUCAACCUGGGAACUGCGGUUGUGACUGCAAGACUGGAGUACGGCAGAGGGGGGUGGAAUUCCUGGUGUAGCAGUGAAAUGCGUAGAUAUCAGGAGGAACACCGAUGGCGAAGGCAGCCCCCUGGGCCUGUACUGACGCUCAAGCACGAAAGCGUGGGGAGCAAACAGG